rnacentral:rRNA from 1 species
CGGACGGGUGAGUAACGCGUGGAUAACCUGCCUCACACUGGGGGAUAACAGUUAGAAAUGGCUGCUAAUACCGCAUAAGCGCACAGUACCGCAUGGUACGGUGUGAAAAACCCAGGUGGUGUGAGAUGGAUCCGCGUCUGAUUAGCCAGUUGGCGGGGUAACGGCCCACCAAAGCGACGAUCAGUAGCCGGCCUGAGAGGGUGACCGGCCACAUUGGGACUGAGACACGGCCCAA